rnacentral:tRNA from 1 species
GUUCAUGGGAUAGCUCAGUUGGUAGAACAUGAAACUCUUAAUGUCAUGGUCAUGGGUUCGAGCCCCAUGUUGGGCA